UACGAAGGUGGCAAGCGUUGUUCGGAUUUACUGGGCGUAAAGAGCGCGCAGGCGGUCGAUCAAGUCGCGUGUGAAAGCCCCUGGCUCAACUGGGGAGGGUCGACGCGAUACUGAUCGACUCGAAGGCAGGAGAGGGUAGUGGAAUUCCCGGUGUAGUGGUGAAAUGCGUAGAUAUCGGGAGGAACACCAGUGGCGAAGGCGACUACCUGGCCUGUUCUUGACGCUGAGGCGCGAAAGCUAGGGGAGCAAACGGGG
rnacentral:rRNA from 1 species